AGAACCUUACCUACUCUUGACAUCCAGGGAAUUUGGCAGAGAUGCCUUAGUGCCUUCGGGAACCGUGAGACAGGUGCUGCAUGGCUGUCGUCAGCUCGUGUUGUGAAAUGUUGGGUUAAGUCCCGCAACGAGCGCAACCCUUAUCCUUUGUUGCCAGCGAUUCGGUCGGGAACUCAAAGGAGACUGCCGGUGAUAAACCGGAGGAAGGUGGGGAUGACGUCAAGUCAUCAUGGCCCUUACGAGUAGGGCUACACACGUGCUACAAUGGCGCAUACAAAGAGAAGCGACCUCGCGAGAGCAAGCGGACCUCACAAAGUGCGUCGUAGUCCGGAUCGGAGUCUGCAACUCGACUCCGUGAAGUCGGAAUCGCUAGUAAUCGUGGAUCAGAAUGCCACGGUGAAUACGUUCCCGGGCCUUGUACACACCGCCCGUCACACCAUGGGAGUGGGUUGCAAAAGAAGUAGGUAGCUUAACCUUCGGGAGGGCGCUUACCACU
rnacentral:rRNA from 1 species